GUAAGUACUGCUAAUACCAAGAAUAACUGGCAUCCUUACUUUUAAAGGAAACUAGUAA
rnacentral:tRNA from 1 species